rnacentral:rRNA from 1 species
ACGCGGGUCUCUGGGCAGUAACUGACGCUGAGGAGCGAAAGCAUGGGGAGCGAACAGGAUUAGAUACCCUGGUAGUCCAUGCCGUAAACGGUGGGCGCUAGGUGUGGGUUUCCUUCCACGGGAUCCGUGCCGUAGCUAACGCAUUAAGCGCCCCGCCUGGGGAGUACGGCCGCAAGGCUAAAACUCAAAGGAAUUGACGGGGGCCCGCACAAGCGGCGGAGCAUGUGGAUUAAUUAGAUGCAACGCGAAGAACCUUACCUGGGCUUGACAUAUACAGGAUCGCGCCAGAGAUGGUGUUUCCCUUGUGGCUUGUAUACAGGUGGUGCAUGGUUGUCGUCAGCUCGUGUCGUGAGAUGUUGGGUUAAGUCCCGCAACGAGCGCAACCCUUGUCUUAUGUUGCCAGCACGUUGUGGUGGGGACUCGUAAGAAACUGCCGGGGUUAACUCGGAGGAAGGUGGGGAUGACGUCAAAUCAUCAUGCCCCUUAUGUCCAGGGCUUCACACAUGCUACAAUGGUCGGUACAGUGGGUUGCCAGUCCGUGAGGGCGAGCUAAUCCCGCAAAGCCGGUCUCAGUUCGGAUCGGGGUCUGCAACUCGACCCCGUGAAGUCGGAGUCGCUAGUAAUCGCAGAUCAGCAACGCUGCG